UACGUAGGGAGCAAGCGUUGUCCGGAAUCAUUGGGCGUAAAGCGCGCGUAGGUGGCCUCAUAAGUCCGCUGUGAAAGUCAAAGGCUCAACCUUUGAAAGCCGGUGGAUACUGUGAGGCUAGAGUACGGAAGAGGCGAGUGGAAUUCCUGGUGUAGCGGUGGAAUGCGCAGAUAUCGGGAGGAACACCCAUGGCGAAGGCAGCUCUCUGGGUUUCACCUGACACUGAGGCGCGAAAGCGUGGGGAGCGAACGGG
rnacentral:rRNA from 1 species